rnacentral:lncRNA from 1 species
AUGCGCAGUGAUCUGGGCACUGAGAACAUGUCUGACUGGAGAGGAAAGCCCACCGGGAGAGCUGGAAUCUGGACUGUCCUUCCUGGUACAGCCAGUCCCGUGGACAUGGACAUGGAGACAGGAGAAGGACCAAGUCCCUCAAAGGCUUUUUGUCUCAGACACAGUGGCUUAGCUAAGGAACACUAUUCUCAACUGAGAGCUGGGCACCUGAGGGAAGUUCACGGCAAGCAUCUUUGGGAAAUGGAAGAGGAACAGGUGAAGAAUUUGGUGUGCAGUCAACAUGAGGGUCUGAAAUUCUGGAUUGGGCUAGAGAUACAAUUUGAAAGUCAUCAGAAUACCUACAGUCUACACAUGUGCAGGAAGUCAGAGAAGAGGAUUUCAAAAAAGAGGGCAGAUAAUGAUGCCAAAUAUCUCAGAGAAGUCAAGUAAGAAAGAACCAACUGUCCACUGGCUUUAGUAAUGAGGAAGUCAUUGAUGACUUCAGGUGAGCAGUUUCUGUGGAUUUGUAGGGCAGAAGCCAAAUCAUGCUUGAUGGAGGAUUGGAUGGACGGCAAAGUGGCAAAGCUGAUUGGAGAUGACUCUAGAAGCCUGGACAAAAAGAGGUAAAAUAUAGAGCGAUACCUAGAGAAGGCAUGCAGGAUGGUGGGAGUUUUGUUUAUUAUUUUUUAGAUUCGAAGAGACUUGAACAUGACUAAGUUAUGAUGAGAAGAAACCAAGAGGAAGGAGAAGUUGAACAAACAGGAGAACAAAUAGAUUAUUGAUAGAACAAACUCCUGGAUGGAAACGGGGAAGAGUAAAUUCAAGAGCAUUGCGGUGAUCUUGUUCUUGAAGCAUCCGUCCUCUAAGACACCAGGGAACGAAGGACAGGGGUGCAGGUAAACUUGUGAGUGAGAGGUAGCAAACUGAGGGAGCUCAUUCCUGAUCAUCUCAAUUUUAUCAGUUAAAGGAAGUGGGGAUACUAGAGCUGGGCUAGGGAGCAUGAGAAAAGGGGCAAAUGUUUAGACCUACCAUAGAUAAGAGGGGAAAAAGGAAAGUGACCAGGGAAACAGACAGGGUUGUCUAGAAGCACUGGGGGCCCAGAUGAGACUGGAAAUCCUAAGUGUGUAGUUGCAACCAAUCCACCAAGCGUGUGUAUUUCUCUGUUGCUUGGCUACCAGUCUGUAGAGCUGGAGAAGACAGAUGUGUUUGGGUUACUUGAGGGUUGGGGAUUUAUAAGACAAGAGUAAGAGCAGGGACAAGGAAGCUGUGUUUUCCAGGUAGAGAGUAGUUGAAGUGAUGGACCAUGGGAUCUGGGCAGGAGAGAGGAAAAGUGAAGAAAGAAGCGACUGGUGCCAGGUGGACGACUGAGAUAAGACGGAGUCCUCAAGUUGCUGGAGACCUUGUGAAGGUCAAAGAACAGAUAACAUCAGAGGAGGGCUGGGAGGUCUAG